GAUUGACUCGUGAGGGCAUUAGCUGUUUUAGGGUUAGAAAAUUGUUAAAUAAAAUUGAUUUUGAAUUUAUUUUUAAUAUUUUUUUUUUAAAAAGUGAUUCGCUCCAGGUGAUGGUAAAGUUUUGUAUAUAUUUAAAUAGGUCACGGGCGGGCGCGUUUGACGGAAGUCGUCCGGACCGGACGCCGAGAUUGUGCCCCGCCACCUUCCGGUCGGGAGCUCGCACUUUCAAAACUAAACUGGACAAGUGACAAGAGGUAGCCAUAUCUGACAGAGAUGAUGCUGAGGUCACGGAAAGUCAAGAUUACGACUGUACAUACAGACGCGACCGGCACGCGUGCAUUUAAAAAGAGAAGCAAAACAAUAAACGCCAUUAACUGCGAACAAAAGGAGUAAAAGGCAAGUCGGGGCACAAUUAAAACAAGAAAUAAUAAGGAGUUGGUAAUAAUAAGUAUUAUUGUGUUAGAGAUGACAGCUAGGGGGACCGCGCCGCUCGCACCUGGCGGGACACGCGCCCAGCGCCCCCUCGGAACUUCUGCCGAUUAUUAUUUUUUUUUACAAAGAUACGGGUUACGGUGGUGUACUAGGCCGGUCGAAGAUUUAGUCUCAUGUUGCAUACUGGAUUUUUUGUUUUAUUCGAAUUAUUUAUUACAUUAAAAAUUCGUUAAUUAAAAAAUGAACAAAAAAUAUAUAUCUCUAUUACAUAUUUUUUUUUAGUUUUCUUGAAGGAUAAGUAUAUAAUGGAUAUAAAAAAAAAAUGUAAAGUAAUAAGAUUUAAAAAAAUAUUAUGAUUUGUUAACAAUCAAUAAACAAAAAAAAUAUUGAUACAAUA